rnacentral:snRNA from 1 species
UACCUUACCUGGCAGGGGAGAUACCAUGAUCAUGAAGGUGGUUUUCCCAGGGUGAGGCUCAUCCAUUGCACUGCGGGUGUGCUGACCCCUGCGAUUUCCCCAAAUGCGGGAAACUCGACUGCAUAAUUUGUGGUAGUGGGGGACUGCGUUCGCGCUUAA